rnacentral:rRNA from 1 species
UACGAAGGGGGCGAGCGUUGUUCGGAAUUACUGGGCGUAAAGGGCGUGUAGGCGGCCAACUAAGUCCGACGUGAAAUCCCCAGGCUUAACCUGGGAACUGCGUCGGAUACUGGAUGGCUUGAAUCCGGGAGAGGGAUGCGGAAUUCCAGGUGUAGCGGUGAAAUGCGUAGAUAUCUGGAGGAACACCGGUGGCGAAGGCGGCAUCCUGGACCGGCAUUGACGCUAAAGCGCGAAAGCCAGGGGAGCAAACGGG